ACGGGUGAGUAACACGUAGGAACCUGCCCUUAAGUGGGGGACAACCAAGGGAAACUUUGGCUAAUACCGCAUGAACUCGGGAGAGGAAAGCUACCUUUAGAGGUGGUGCUUGAGGAGGGGCCUGCGUCUGAUUAGCUAGUUGGUGAGGUAAAGGCUCACCAAGGCGAUGAUCAGUAACUGGUCUGAGAGGACGACCAGUCACACUGGGACUGAGACACGGCCCAGACUCCUACGGGAGGCAGCAGUGGGGAAUAUUGGACAAUGGGGGCAACCCUGAUCCAGCGAUGCCGCGUGGGUGAAGAAGGCCUUCGGGUUGUAAAGCCCUUUAGGUUAGGAAGAAGGGUAUAUGGUGAAUAGCCAUAUAUUUUGACGGUACUAACAGAAUAAGCACCGGCAAACUCUGUGCCAGCAGCCGCGGUAAUACAGAGGGUGCGAGCGUUAAUCGGAGUUACUGGGCGUAAAGGGCGCGUAGGCGGUAAGAGUAGUGGUAUGUGAAAGCCCCGGGCUUAACCUGGGAAGGGCAUAUCAAACUGACUUGCUAGAGUAUAAGAGAGGGUGGCGGAAUUUCCGGU
rnacentral:rRNA from 1 species